rnacentral:lncRNA from 1 species
UUCACUUUCUUAUUUUGUCUUUUAAGUUGACUUGCAAGUAAACGAAGCAAGUCGGAUUGUUUUUAUAUAAUCAUCUUAAAAGUGACAUUUGCAAUGUGAGGAAAGAGGUAUGUUUUGGCCUAUUUAUCACUCCAUGUAAUAAACACAUUUACUGCUCAAGAUUUGUCUAUAAAUACAGGAUCUAUCCCACCAACAUUUAUCAUCCUAAAACAAAAACACAACUAUUUCACAACUCGAAGAAAAAUGAGUUCCAAACUGAUUGUUCUUCUCGGCCUUUUAGCUCUUCUAGUUUCUUCAGAAGUAGCUUCAGCCAGCAGAGGACUCGCUGAGAAAACUAAUGCCGUCGAUCCAUGUAAGCAAUUUCUUCAAUAAUAUAUAUAUGUGUAUAUUUUUUGAUAAAAAUUAAAACUAAUUAAACAGAGCACAAGUUUCCGCCGCGAUGCGAUGGACUCGAACCUAANAU